rfam:Oceanobacillus oncorhynchi strain Oc5 genome assembly, contig: CONTIG000001
AGGAGAGGAACUUCUACUAAGAACACCCACGUCCUGUGGGUAACGUAGAAGCCACCGCAUCCUGCGGA